UAUGCCAUUGAAGAGAAGUGGGGAGA
rnacentral:piRNA from 1 species